rnacentral:piRNA from 1 species
UCCCAUGUAUUCGUUUGUUUGGCCACUGA